AAGACCUUGCACUUUUGGAGCGGCCGAUGUCUGAUUAGCUAGUUGGUGGGGUAAUGGCCUACCAAAGCGUCGAUCAGUAGCUGGUCUGAGAGGACGGCCAGCCACACUGGGACUGAGACACGGCCCAGACUCCUACGGGAGGCAGCAGUGGGGAAUUUUGGACAAUGGGCGCAAGCCUGAUCCAGCCAUGCCGCGUGAGUGAAGAAGGCCUUCGGGUUGUAAAGCUCUUUCAGCCGGGAAGAAAAGGUUGCGAUUAAUAAUCGCAAUUUAUGACGGUACCGGAAGAAGAAGCACCGGCUAACUACGUGCCAGCAGCCGCGGUAAUACGUAGGGUGCGAGCGUUAAUCGGAAUUACUGGGCGUAAAGGGUGCGCAGGCGGUUUUGUAAGUCAGAUGCGAAAUCCCCGGGCUUAACCUGGGAACU
rnacentral:rRNA from 1 species